AAGUCCCGCAACGAGCGCAACCCUUGUCCUUAGUUGCCAGCAUUAAGUUGGGCACUCUAAGGAGACUGCCGGUGACAAACCGGAGGAAGGUGGGGACGACGUCAAGUCAUCAUGGCCCUUACGUGUAGGGCUACACACGUGCUACAAUGGCAUUUACAGUGGGAAGCGAGACAGUGAUGUGGAGCGGACCCCUUAAAGAAUGUCGUAGUCCGGAUUGGAGUCUGCAACUCGACUCCAUGAAGUCGGAAUCGCUAGUAAUCGGAUAUCAGCCAUGAUCCGGUGAAUACGUUCCCGGGCCUU
rnacentral:rRNA from 1 species